GUAGAAUUGAGCUAUGAACAUCUCUGCUUUGGCAUCGAUCAUCUCGUCCUCGUCCUCGCCAUCCACAUUUGAACUGACUUUAUCAUUGUUUAUUUCUUCGUCCUCUCCGUCGUUUUGGUCCAAAUCUUGAAGUUGUAGUACAAAAGGAAAAAGAAAUAAGGAACCUGCUCAUGCCAUCAACAGAAGAGGAGGAGGAAUUGACAUCCUCAAAGUUAUCAAGGGAAGGGGAGGAAGGCAAGCGGGGCAGUGGAGGCUCGGUACUGGCCGCGGGCAAGGAAGGAACAGUGGUUGACUCAUCGCUCUGCAAAUGCAAAGGCCGCAUUGCACCAACAAGCCUAUUCCACAUUCCUUUAGAACCCACAUGAUCAACGAUUGCACUGUUGUUAACAACAACAUUCGGCUUCCGAGAGCGUUGCCGGAGAAGCAUCAAAGCCACCUUCAGAAUGUUAGUGCUCUUCUUCUUCUUCUUCUUGGGCUCACACUCAUGCUCCACUUUGACAUUGUGAUCGUAAUUUGUGUCGUCAUUCGUAAUCUGCAACACUGUUUCAUAAGAAGAAGAAUUCACAGUCAUUACACCAACAGCUUGCUCUGUCAUUAAUCGGACCACACGGAUGGAAGAAGCUUAUUUUUUUCAAAAGUUUUAUGUUUUUUUUUUUUGGGUUUUGAAUUUGAUAUUUUGGUUGUCUCUACCCUGCAAAAUGCAGGGUGAGACAGGAGAGAAAAAUGGGUCAAAAAGAAGGUUGGGAGGGAGAGGUUUUUAUAGUUAUGAUUGGUGUUUAAUUUAGUUAUAGAAUUUGCUAUAAAAAGAAAUGUGGUUCUACUUCAUUUGGUGAGCAACUUUAGGAUCCCACUCUUUACAGUUUGGUUGCCAUUCAUUCGGUCAAAAUGCUCUUCCUCUUCCUCUUCCUCUUCCUCCCCCUCCCUACUUUUACCGUAAAACGGUUAGCUAUAUAACUUCCCUCUUAAUCUUCUUUGUAAAA